GAUGAACGCUGGCGGCGUGCCUAAUACAUGCAAGUCGAGCGAACAGACGAGGAGCUUGCUCCUCUGACGUUAGCGGCGGACGGGUGAGUAACACGUGGAUAACCUACCUAUAAGACUGGGAUAACUUCGGGAAACCGGAGCUAAUACCGGAUAACAUGUUGAACCGCAUGGUUCAACAGUGAAAGACGGUCUUGCUGUCACUUAUAGAUGGAUCCGCGCCGCAUUAGCUAGUUGGUAAGGUAACGGCUUACCAAGGCAACGAUGCGUAGCCGACCUGAGAGGGUGAUCGGCCACACUGGAACUGAGACACGGUCCAGACUCCUACGGGAGGCAGCAGAAGGGAAUCUUCCGCAAUGGGCGAAAGCCUGACGGAGCAACGCCGCGUGAGUGAAGAAGGUCUUCGGAUCGUAAAACUCUGUUAUUAGGGAAGAACAAAUGUGUAAGUAACUAUGCACGUCUUGACGGUACCUAAUCAGAAAGCCACGGCUAACUACGUG
rnacentral:rRNA from 1 species